AGGUGACCUUAACAAUUAAAUAUCUCAAAUCGCCAUUAAAAUAGGGAGAAGAAAUAUUUCACCAGGCAAACUACAAGGCACAAUACUGGACUACAAGACUGUUCUAGUGAAUCGUGAUGUUAAGAUAAUAAAGGCUAUUAGAUAUAGACCAACAGCUAAACAAGAUGGAAGCCGAGAGUAUACUGGAAUCAACACUACGCCAAGCUGAAAACGAUGGAAAUAUAGGAGAAGUAGUUGAAACAUUAUCAUUACAAGAUAAGAUGCAAGCUGUACUUACAUGUAUAUCUGGUGUAAAGGGAUUGUAUGAUGUUGUGAUACAUCUGAUAGACCAUAGUAUUGGUGUACAAUAUGUUGAAAGUGGUCAGGGCAACCUACUGCACUUACUUUUACGUAGCUAUAGCAGAUAUAACAAUGCAAGUAGACCUGAUUUGUUGUUACAGUGUAUAGUUAAAUUAAUUGAGGCUGGGGUAGACGUAAACUGGUCCAAUGAAGACAAUGAGAUGCCUGGAUUUACAGCUGCUUGGAAAGGAUUGUAUGAAGUUGUGAUACAUAUGUUAGAACAUGGUUUUGAUUUACAUUAUGUUGAAAGCCACCAGAACAACUUGUUACACAUACUUUUAUAUAGAUAUGACAAAUACAAUUAUAGCUAUACAAGUAGACGUGAUUUGUUAUUACAAUGUAUAGUUAAAUUAGUUGGUACUGGUGUAGACUCCAACCAGUUGAAUGACCCCAAAAUAUACUCGAAUUUUGUGCUACCGGACCUAAAAGCUAUGCCUUGAAAAUUGAAAAUCAAAAUACCCACAAAAUAUCUUUAUAACAUUGGCUUCCAGUUCGAGCGAGGGUUCAAUUUAAAGCUCUUGUGAAUGUGUUUAAAUCAGUUUAUUCUGACACUGCACCCAGUUAUUUAAAAGAACUCUUUGAUUUCUAUUCUCCCCGGCGAUACACCCUUCGUUCGUCAAGUGAUCGUAGCCUAUUGAGGAUUCCUAAACAAAAUAAACUUUCUGGGGAAUUCAAUAUGCUUUCUCCGUCAGAGCAGCUGAAAUGCGAAAUGAACUUCCAAAAGCUCUUCGAGAGUACUCUUCCAUCCAGAGCUUUAAGACUUACUUAAAAACAUAUUUAUUUCAAAACUGUUUUUGAACUUUUUGUUGUGAAUGUACUUAGAAACUGUGUAAUGAAGCGCUAUAUAAAUGAACAAUAAUAAAGAUGCUAAAGAGCAAAAUGUUUUCAAAGACUCGAUAAGGUAGACUAAUGUGAUUUAUGACCUCUGUUAUAGACAGGGCUGCCGACAACCAGUAUCGCAGCGCAAUUUGCGAUACAUAUUUUGUCCGUUGCUAAUCAAAAAUUAAAAUCUAAAGUUUUUGAUUCGCAGUAACUGCGAAUCAUUAAUAUGCCUGUCAUUUUGGAUAUUGACACAAGGAUAAUCCACAUUUGAAGACUAGAAAGCUUUCUCAACAAUUUCAACGAGUAUAAAAUGUUGAAUAAAAUUUUAUAAACAAAACUGAAUUCUCCGUGUGACAUUUUCUUCUCGAACUACCCAGACACAAUUCAUUAUACGGUACUAUAUAAUACAGGGACAUAACUCUAUGAAUAGGGACUAUUAAACCGGAAACAGGGAAUCAAGUAGUACCACUCACGUUGCGAGACAUCAAGUAAUUAUAUGACGUGUCUAGUCAAUCGAGGUGCGCCCGAUUGAACAAAAAAAGCAAUACACUAUAAAAAGCAGACGAAAUUGUUUUCUAACGAAGAUUUCUAACGUAUAAAAAAAUAACAAUUAAAAUGAUUGGGGCUUCGGAAGUCACUGUUAAGAAUUGGCUUCAGACAUAAGACCUAACUAAAUGUCUACAUCACAUUCACAAACUGUCACAAGUACUUGUGGCAGUCCUAAAAAAAUCUAAGAUUAGUAAGAAUGGAAUCUAAUCAUAUUUGUUAUGAACUAAAGUAAUAUCUUGUUAUUUAGGUGUUUUAUGUUGAAACUGAAAAACUGCUAAUCAAUUUUUAAAUUUGCUAAUCAAAUUUGGCAAAAUUGGACUUUUUGAUUAGCAGUGCUGCUAAUCAACCGUGAAAAAUUACCGUCAGCCCUGGUUAUAGAAGUAUGCAGGCCAUGUGGAACAGUUAUAGACGGAUGCAGACCGUAUGGAACAGGAUAGAUAGCUAUAUAAUAAAGUAUUAAACAGAGACAGAAUGUUUUUGGAAAUUUUUAAUUGUAUUUGUUUAUUCGCCCGGACACAAUUCUCACAGGGCCCUAAUUUGCCAAGGGCCCAUUUGGCUCAUGGCCGAAAUUAGCACAGGGCAGAAAUUCGCCCAUACCCAAUUCUCUAGAGCCCAAAUUCGCGAGGGGCCGAAGUUCGCCAGGGGUCCAAUAUCGCCCGUGGUUCAUAAUCGCCCGAGGCCCAAUUUCGCCCGGCCUUAAACAUUGAUUUGAUACCAUAUGACAGGGCCUGUGGUCCACAUUCAACCGGCCUUAAACAUUCACGGGGCCAUGCUGGUUAAUUUAAUACCACAUAUAUCGGGUCCCGGGGCCUAAUUCGCCCGGAACCCAAAUUCGACCUGGACCCAUUUUCGAUAGCCUAAACAUUCACGACGCAUACACACCAGCACAUACAUACAUACAUACAUACAUACAUGUAAAUUAUUGUAUAGUAAAAACUGCCUUGUAAUGGUCGUACGGUAUAUCUAACAUCUAGAUAAUCUGAUUUGUACUGGAUAAACUAUAUUAAAUCUAAUCUAGGUUUGUAAAAUAUAUAUUAUUCUUGUGUAUAAAAUAUAGUAUAGUUUAUACUUGUACUGGAUAUUCUAAUUUUGUAGAUAUAUAUUAUUCUUUAAACAUACAUUAUGCAAGAGCAAAAUCUGAUUAUUGCAAGUCUUAAAUUAGGCGUCAGAUGUUAUAGAAAUUAUAAAUUAGAUCUUUAUUUAAACAACAAGCCCAAAAUUAACUCUGUAGAGCCACGGAUGGCUCGGCUACAGCUCGGAUUUAAAUAGGAUUUCACUCAUUGAUAAAUUGAAAUAUGGCGCACCCUGAUGAGAAUACGUCGGUUAGAUCGAGGAUAAAUGAUAGAGUGUACUUAGCGAGGCCGCUGUAGAGUGUUUCCGCAUGCCAUUGAAAACUUUACUUGAUAAUCGAGAUAUUUAGGUGGAGUUAACGAAUGUCAAUCAAACGAUCGACCAAGGUGAUGGCACAUUUCACUACCAUUUCUAGGCAAAUAUUACAACGAUGAUAACUAUGUUCAGAAUAAAGUAAUUUGACUGAAAUUUUCAAUAUAUUCUUCUUUCAUCAUUUACUUUUGAACUGUUAUAGCAAGAAUGGCCAACUCUCUAUAAAAAUCUCCCAUAAUGUAUCUUUAAUAUAAAUUAUUGAAUAGUUUAUACUUGUAAUGGUUUCUAUAUACCUAUUCUAUAUUUGUAUAUAAAUUAUAAUAUAGUUUAUACUUGUACUGCAUAAACUAUAUUAUACCUACAUGUAAUCUAUGUUUGUUAUACAUAUAUAUUAUUAUUGUGUAUAAAUUAUGCACCCGAUUAGAUUUUAUUACAUACUUCGAGAAGGUAUUUGUUGAGUAAUAAAACCUUCUAGUAGUUUAUAGAGAGCUGGCCGUCCUUACCGCACGGUACUAAUAUUACCACCACUAGAAGCAACAAAUUCCAGAACAAGCCAGAACUCAUACCAAAAUGGCCGCUUUAUACAAAUGAGUAUUUAGGGGAAUACUAACCCUAACCCUUUUAAGAGAAGUAAACUAAAUUAGACCCAAGUUCAGUCUUUUAAAAAGGGUUAGGGUUCGGGUUAGGUAUCCCCAAAAUUCUCAUUUAUGUAAAGCGGCCAUUUUGGACUCCGGAAGCACCCGAACCUCGAUAAACUACUAGAAGGUUUUAUUUGUAACGGACGGUAAGGACGGCCAGCCCUCGAUAAACUACUCAACAAAUACCUUCUCGAAGUAUGUAAUAAAAUCUAAUCGAGUGCAUUAUAGUAUAUGGUAACACCUGUAAUGAUCUAAUCUAUGUAAAUACAAUGUAUAUAUAAUUAUUGUAUAUAAAUUAAACAAUAAAAA